rnacentral:misc_RNA from 1 species
GUGAAUCAUCGAAUUUUUGAACGCAAAUUGCACUCUCUGGUAUUCCGGAGAGUAUGCCUGUUUGAGGGUCAGUUUAAAUAAAAAUCGGUGUGGUUGCUGCCUUUCGUGGUGACGCACCGGUUGUGGGCCGCUUUGCUUUCGGUUAGGGGCCUUAAAUUUUUGCUGGUUUUUUUGGAAGGAAUUUAAAUGAUUUUACGUCCGUUUGGGUUAUCGAUUAU